rnacentral:rRNA from 1 species
UAGGGAAUCUUCGGCAAUGGGGGGAACCCUGACCGAGCAACGCCGCGUGAGUGAAGAAGGUUUUCGGAUCGUAAAGCUCUGUUGUUAAGGAAGAACGAGUGUGAGAAUGGAAAGUUCAUGCUGUGACGGUACUUAACCAGAAAGGGACGGCUAACUACGUGCCAGCAGCCGCGGUAAUACGUAGGUCCCGAGCGUUGUCCGGAUUUAUUGGGCGUAAAGCGAGCGCAGGCGGUUAGAAAAGUCUGAAGUGAAAGGCAGUGGCUCAACCAUUGUAGGCUUUGGAAACUGUUUAACUUGAGUGCAGAAGGGGAGAGUGGAAUUCCAUGUGUAGCGGUGAAAUGCGCAGAGGUAUGGAGGAACACCAGUGGCGAAGGCGACUUUCUGGUCUGUAACUGACGCUGAUGUGCGAAAGCGUGGGGAUCAAACAGG